AGUCGUUCUGCCCAUUGAAUUUAAAAGGCUGCAGUAUUUUAACUGUACAAAGGUAGCAAAGUAAAUAGUUUUUUAAUUGAAAACUUGAAUGAAAGAGUUGAUAAAAUAUAAAUUGUCUCAAAAAUAUAAUUUAAAUUAAAAGUAAAAAUGCUUUUAUUUUUUUAUUAGACGAUAAGACCCUAAGAAUUUUAUAGUUUUUAUUAUUUUGAAAAAUUUAUAUGAUUAAAAUUAUUUUAUUGGGAGGAUAAUUAAAUAACUUUAAUUAGAAAUAAUAUUUUUAAAUAAAAUUAAUGAUUAAUAUUUUAAUUAUAAGAAUUAAUUACCUUAGGGAUAACAGCGUAAUAAUUUUGGAUAGUUCAUAUUGAUAAAAUUGUUUGCGACCUCGAUGUUGAAUUAAAAUAAAAAUUAAAUGUAGAUAUUUAAAUUUUUAGUCUGUUCGACUAUUGAAAUUUUAC
rnacentral:rRNA from 1 species